GAUUUCGUCCGUAAUAUGUUUACAGGUUUAAACACCAUGGUGGAUUAGUAGUUGGGUGGGUGACCACCAGCGAAUACCUACUGUUGUAUGUU
rnacentral:rRNA from 1 species